UACGUAGGGUCCGAGCGUUGUCCGGAAUUACUGGGCGUAAAGCGCGCGCAGGCGGCCCGCGAGGUGUCACGUGAAAGCCCCGGGCUCAACCCGGGAGGGUCGUGGCAAACCGGCGGGCUUGAGGCCGGUAGAGGUGGGUGGAACUCCUGGUGGAGUGGUGAAAUGCGUAGAGAUCAGGAAGAACACCCGUGGCGAAGGCGGCCCACUGGGCCGGUACUGACGCUGAGGCGCGAAGGCGUGGGGAACGAACGGG
rnacentral:rRNA from 1 species